UGUCAAGAGUCUUGGCGCCGUUUGGUGAGUUGAUUUCUUUUGCCUUGUAGAAGGCGAAGGACAAUG
rfam:Pararhizobium polonicum strain F5.1 contig_24, whole genome shotgun sequence.